UUCGAGUAACCCGUAUUAUUGCUGGAACACUUCCGGUUGCUGAAAGUAGAAGACUCCCACUUCUACUUUCAACCUUAGCAACCACAGAGAAAUGUAUUAAAUGUAGUUUACUGAGUUCAUGAAUUUCAGGCUGGUGGCCCCUUCUAUCCUCUGUAUACUGGAAAGAGAGACAUCACCCUUUCUUUCUGUGACCUUGCAACUUAUGAACUUCCUUCUCCAGAAGAUAACUUACGGCAGACGCUUGCAUCAUUUGCAUCCUUUGCAUCAAGGGCAUUUGAUGAAAUAGAAGCUGUUAGCCUCUUCGUAUUCAUCCUUCUUGUGCUCUUCUGUACUGGUUAUGACUGUUUCGUUGGCUCGGUUUUAUGUUUUCAUAUAUCUGCCUUAGCUAAAUUUUCUUUGCUUUGUAAGACGUACGUCUGCUUAGGAAAUGGUGCUCACAGCAUUGGAGUGAUCCACUGCAAAUUCUUUGAAAACCAUCUCGACAACUUCAGUGGGUCUCGUAAGCCUGACCCAUCUUUGGAUGUUGAGUUCCUUCACCUCAUGAGAUCAAGAUGCAACUACAGUCACUCAACACCUGCUUCCGCAUAAAAACCUCCUGCUUACGGCUUUGUGUCAUCACGAAGAGCACCAUUUCGAUUCCACAAAGACCUGCAGCGAUCCUCAUUCGAGGAGGCAUGAUUGGCAAUGGACAAUGAGUGACCUAGAUCAGCUUUAGGCACCCUGUACUACCGGAAUCUUAUGCAAGGUAAAGGAAUCCUCUAUGCUGAUCAGCAGCUGACGGUUAGGGAAAAAACUUGGAAUUGGGUUAGAGCAUGUGCUUUUGAUGCCUACUUAUUCCGUUGAGACUUUGCCAUGGCAAUGAUGAAGCUCUUAGACCUCCAAGUGUUGAUAACACCAAUGGGUCAGAUCCGGCUCAAUUGUUCAAAAGCGGUAUGAUAGGAGUUAUGAAGCAUGGAUACUUGUUCAGGCUCUAGAAAUUGUUCUGAAUUAUGUAAAAAGUUUGUUUAAUUCCUGAAACUGAUUAACUAAGUUGCAUUCA